UACGUAGGGUGCAAGCGUUAAUCGGAAUUACUGGGCGUAAAGCGUGCGCAGGCGGUUUUGUAAGUCUGUCGUGAAAUCCCCGGGCUCAACCUGGGAAUUGCGAUGGAGACUGCAAGGCUGAGAAUCUGGCAGAGGGGGGUAGAAUUCCACGUGUAGCAGUGAAAUGCGUAGAGAUGUGGAGGAACACCGAUGGCGAAGGCAGCCCCCUGGGUCAAGAUUGGACGCUCAUGCACGAAAGCGUGGGGAGCAAACAGG
rnacentral:rRNA from 1 species